rnacentral:rRNA from 1 species
UAGGGAAUAUUGGGCAAUGGACGCAAGUCUGACCCAGCCAUGCCGCGUGCAGGAUGACGGCCCUAUGGGUUGUAAACUGCUUUUGUCAGGGAAAAAACCCUCCGACGUGUCGGAGGCUGAUGGUACCUGAAGAAUAAGGAUCGGCUAACUCCGUGCCAGCAGCCGCGGUAAUACGGAGGAUCCAAGCGUUGUCCGGAUUUAUUGGGUUUAAAGGGUGCGUAGGUGGAUUAUUAAGUCAGGGGUGAAAGCCCGCAGCUCAACUGUGGAACUGCCCUUGAAACUGAUAAUCUUGAGUGCGGUUGAGGUAGGCGGAAUGUGUCAUGUAGCGGUGAAAUGCUUAGAUAUGAUACAGAACACCAAUUGCGAAGGCAGCUUACUAAACCGUAACUGACACUGAGGCACGAAAGCAUGGGGAGCAAACAGG